rnacentral:misc_RNA from 1 species
GAUGAAGAACGUAGCGAAAUGCGAUAAAUAAUGUGAAUUGCAGAAUUCAGUGAAUCAUCGAGUCUUUGAACGCACAUUGCGCCCCCUGGUAUUCCGGGGGGCAUGCCUGUCCGAGCGUCAUUGCUGCCCUCAAGCACGGCUUGUGUGUUGGGCCCCCGUUCCCCCCUCCCGGGGGACGGGCCCGAAAGGCAGCGGCGGCACCGCGUCCGGUCCUCGAGCGUAUGGGGCUUUGUCACCCGCUCUGUAGGCCCGGCCGGCGCCUGCCGACCACCAUCAAUCUUUUUUCAGGUUGACCUCGGAUCAGGUAGGGAUACCCGCUGAACUUAAGCAUAUCAAUAAGCGGAGGA